rnacentral:rRNA from 1 species
GACGAACGCUGGCGGCGUGCCUAACACAUGCAAGUCGAACGGAGAUAUUUGCUAUAGCAUCUUAGUGGCGGACGGGUGAGUAACGCGUGGGCAACAUGCCUUCGACCGGGGGGGAACCCAGGGAAAACUGUGCUAAUACCGCAUAAAGCCUGGGCUGGGCACAGUGCGAGGUAAUUGGGAAAAACCGUGAAACAUCGCAAGGUGAAGAACGGCCGGUAUAAGAUGGGCCGGCGUACGAUUAGCUGGUGGGAGGUGUAACGGAGCACCGAGGCGACGAUCGAUAGCCGUGCUGAGAGGUUGAACGGCCACAUUGGGACUGAGACACGGCCCAGACUCCUACGGGAGGCAGCAGUGGGGAAUAGUGCGCAAUGGGGGGAAGCCUAACGCAGCAACGCCGCGUGAAGGAUGAAGGUUUUCGGAUUGUAAACUUCUUUGACGGGGGACGAAGAGAUGACGGUACCCCGGGAACAAGCAACGGCUAACUACGUGCCAGCAGCCGCGGUAA